rnacentral:lncRNA from 12 species
GUCACAGCUUGCAUUACUUUAUAACAUUGAAAAGUUUAAUGCAUACAAGUAUACUUAGGCACACUGUCCUUGCUGAUGUGGGGCCGGGGAGCACUGUGUGUUUGGCACCCUCCCAAAAGCUGGCCAGCUAGACAUUGACUGUUUGUAGUCUCCAGCAACACCUGCUGGACAAAAUUGUUAACUGUGCACUGAAUUUUUGUCUUUGAAGUGUGUGUGAGCUGGUGUGAUACUCGGCCCUGAUUGUUAGAAGGCGUUGUCUUGUUCUGCAAGAGAGACUGAGCAUCCUUGCCAGCAGUAGCUCAGUUUCCAUCCCAAAAGAUGGUAUCAGAUGGUUACUGCAGCACACAUGGGACUGAGCUUCCUCUUCCUCUCUGCAGGAUCUGUGUGACGUGCUGCACCAGGUGGAUGCUGGACAGCCCAGGGCUCCUGAAGGAAUGUAAGGCUAUCUGCACUGUUACAAUGUUGGCUGCAAUAAAUGUUAUUUUAAGUGACACUUUAGAAUCUGAGUACCUUUCUUACUGGAAUCACAAUAAACCAGCACCACUUGGUACAAAACACUUGUCAAACUGUACCUGCUAGAACUAUUUUACUUAGAGUGCUAUUUCUGUUCUGAUGAUGCAAUCGACUGAAGAUUAAAAUUGGGCAAAAACUAAUUCUUUUCCCCUGCUGUUUAUCAUGUGUCUUGAGCUUGGGAUCUUA